UGGGGAAUAUUGCACAAUGGGCGCAAGCCUGAUGCAGCCAUGCCGCGUGUAUGAAGAAGGCCUUCGGGUUGUAAAGUACUUUCAGCGGGGAGGAAGGGAGUAAAGUUAAUACCUUUGCUCAUUGACGUUACCCGCAGAAGAAGCACCGGCUAACUCCGUGCCAGCAGCCGCGGUAAUACGGAGGGUGCAAGCGUUAAUCGGAAUUACUGGGCGUAAAGCGCACGCAGGCGGUUGAUUGAGUCAGAUGUGAAAUCCCCGGGCUUAACCCGGGAACUGCAUCUGAUACUGGCAAGCUUGAGUCUCGUAGAGGGGGGUAGAAUUCCAGGUGUAGCGGUGAAAUGCGUAGAGAUCUGGAGGAAUACCGGUGGCGAAGGCGGCCCCCUGGACGAAGACUGACGCUCAGGUGCGAAAGCGUGGGGAGCAAACAGG
rnacentral:rRNA from 1 species